AACGCUGGCGGCGUGCCCAACACAUGCAAGUCGAACGAGAAAGUGGAGCAAUCCAUGAGUAAAGUGGCGACCGGGUGAGUAACACGUGACUAACCUACCUUCGAGUGGGGGAUAACCUCGGGAAACCGGGGCUAAUACCGCAUAAUGCCUUCGGGUUAAAGGAGCAAUUCGCUUGAAGAGGGGGUCGCGGCUGAUUAGCUAGUUGGCGGGGUAACGGCCCACCAAGGCGAUGAUCGGUAGCCGGCCUGAGAGGGCGCACGGCCACACUGGAACUGAAACACGGUCCAGACUCCUACGGGAGGCAGCAGUGGGGAAUUUUGCGCAAUGGGGGAAACCCUGACGCAGCAACGCCGCGUGGAGGAUGAAGUCCCUUGGGACGUAAACUCCUUUCGACCGGGACGAUAAUGACGGUACCGGUGGAAGAAGC
rnacentral:rRNA from 1 species